UACGUAGGGGGCUAGCGUUGUCCGGAAUCAUUGGGCGUAAAGAGCGUGUAGGCGGCUUGGUAAGUCCGCUGUGAAAGUCCAGGGCUCAACCCUGGAAUGCCAGUGGAUACUGUCAAGCUAGAGUCCGGAAGAGGCGAGUGGAAUUCCUGGUGUAGCGGUGAAAUGCGCAGAUAUCAGGAGGAACACCAAUGGCGAAGGCAGCUCGCUGGGACGGUACUGACGCUGAGACGCGAAAGCGUGGGGAGCGAACAGG
rnacentral:rRNA from 1 species